rnacentral:rRNA from 1 species
UCCGAAGGGGGCUAACGUUUUUGGGAAUCACUGGGCGUAAAGCGCACGUAGGCGGAUUUGUAAGUCAGGGGUGAAAUCCCGGGGCUCAACCUCGGAACUGCCUCUGAUACUGCAAGUCUCGAGUUCGGGAGAGGUGAGUGGAAUUCCUAGUGUAGAGGUGAAAUUCGUAGAUAUUAGGAAGAACACCAGUGGCGAAGGCGGCUCACUGGCCCGAUACUGACGCUGAGGUGCGAAAGCGUGGGGAGCAAACAGG